AUUCGAGCGUCAUUAUCACCCCUCAAGCUUCGGCUUGGUGUUGAGGCCUGCUGUAAAGGCACCCUCUAAAAUCAGUGGCAGUGCUGUCAGGCUCUAAGCGUAGUAAUUUCAUCGCUAUAGGGUCCUGGUGGAUACUCGUCAAAACCCCCCCAUUUUUAAUGAUUGACCUCGGAUUAGGUAGGGAUACCCGCUGAACUUAA
rnacentral:misc_RNA from 1 species